UACAGAGGGUGCGAGCGUUAAUCGGAAUUACUGGGCGUAAAGCGUGCGUAGACGGUUAUGUAAGUCAGGUGUGAAAAGCCCCGGGCUCAACCUGGGAAUUGCAUUUGAGACUGCAUAGCUAGGGUGCGGAAGAGGGAAGCGGAAUUUCCGGUGUAGCGGUGAAAUGCGUAGAUAUCGGAAGGAACACCAGUGGCGAAAAGCGGCUUCCUGGUCCAGCACCGACGUUCAGGCACGAAAGCGUGGGGAGCAAACAGG
rnacentral:rRNA from 1 species